rnacentral:rRNA from 1 species
AACGAACGCUGGCGGCAGGCCUAACACAUGCAAGUCGAGCGGACCCUUCGGGGUUAGCGGCGGACGGGUGAGUAACGCGUGGGAAUAUGCCCUUCUCUACGGAAUAGUCCUGGGAAACUGGGGGUAAUACCGGAUACGCCCUUUGGGGGAAAGAUUUAUCGGGGAAGGAUGAGCCCGCGUUGGAUUAGGUAGUUGGUGGGGUAAUGGCCUACCAAGCCGACGAUCCAUAGCUGGUUUGAGAGGAUGAUCAGCCACACUGGGACUGAGACACGGCCCAGACUCCUACGGGAGGCAGCAGUGGGGAAUCUUAGACAAUGGGGGCAACCCUGAUCUAGCCAUGCCGCGUGAGUGAUGAAGGCCUUAGGGUUGUAAAGCUCUUUCAGCUGGGAAGAUAAUGACGGUACCAGCAGAAGAAGCCCCGGCUAACUCCGUG